UCACACGUUUGUUGAGCUGUGCUUUUGGUC
rnacentral:piRNA from 1 species